rnacentral:lncRNA from 1 species
UCUGAGCCGAGAGCGGAGGACAGACGAAAGAAUGCGCUGCCGUGUAAAUCGAAGAAGAGAAGUCGAGGCCGCAGGAGCAGGAGGUGCCCGAGUCCUGGGGCGCGAGCACACCCAUUCGAGAAACAGCACGGGGCUCCUGCUGCUGGGUGCAGCUCAGUGAGCAGGAGGCGGAGUCACGGAGGCAGAGGGGCUGCGUCUCCUCUCGUCUCGGGGACCGACUCACAGGGAGGGGACUUUACUGCAGAGACAGUGCAAACACUACUGCAAAGCCGCACAGAGGGAGAUGGAGUGACUGAACCACGGCCCUGUGAUCGGCGGGAAGGCUGGCAUCGGAAGCUGGCAGUGCGGGUCCGACAGCGCCCUGAGCCCCUCACACAGGGUGUAUGGAGAGUACGGGACCUCCCCACAACUGCCCUCAGGCCCUUCGGGACACUGGCAUGUCCGCCACUGGGCUGGAACACAAGACCACUCGUGGUGCGGGUUCUGAGCCCAGACGGACUGAGCCAGGGGCCGGAGAUGCCUGACCCCUCACCUGGACCGGCCUGCAUCUUCUCCAGGGUCUCAAGUUGCCCAGCCUGGGCUCACACUCUCAGUCCUCCUGCAUCCAUCUGCCUGUUGAGUCGCAAGCGUGCACCACGAAGCCGCGACUGACACGUCAUUUUUAAUUCACAGUCAUUAACAUUAGCAACAUUUUUACACGUUGCUGAUCACACUGUUUCUUUUCUGCAAGUUUUUCAUUUGUCCAUUAGUCUAUGUGAGCUGCUCUCCUUUCAUUUCAUAAAGGCCUUGUGUAUACUGGGUUUUUAACUCUGCCAUUAAUAUUGCAAACAUCUUUCCCAGUUUGUUAUUUGGCUUUAAAUAUUAAUAGAAUUUUCACAAGGCAAAUGCUUUUUAAUUUUGUUAAAUAAAAUUCACAUAUUAGGAACUUGUAGAUGGUUUUCCUCUGAUUCAACAAUUAAAUGCUGCAGUUAAAUCAGAUCCAUGUUCUCCACGCACGUGUGUGAACAUCCCACACAGGAUCCCACCUUCGCCCCAGGAGCAAGGCUAUGAGCUCUCAAGGAACCAGAG